CAAAAUUCGUUGAUGAGAACAAAGUCGUAUCCGUCAUUAUUUUCAGAGAGCCUGUGGAUGGUGUGAACAGGUAAUAACCGGAUAAGGAUAUCCUCUCUAAGAAGCGGGUCCAAAGCAGAAAAAGUAUCUGCAAGUAGACUUUGCCGGGAUCCACCGUUAUAUGGAUAGCAUAUGUUGGUAUGUGAAGUGCCGCAGAUUAUUAUCUGUGGAAUUAGGGUGGUAACGCGGAUUUUAUUCGUCCCUUUU
rnacentral:ncRNA from 1 species